AUCGUCGGACGUCGGUUGUUGAAUGUUUUUUUUUUGACGUUCUAACAUAUGUACAUAUGUAUACAUAUGUGUAUAUACUUAUGUGCAUAUAUUGUGUGCGCUUUAACAUUUCAGCGAUUUUUUUCGUCUGCAAAUUUUAGCGAGUUUUUAGUUUAAUAUUUUUUUCUGCCGAUUGUUGGUUUCAUAUUGUAUUUUAUAAUGAAGCGCAUAUAAAAUGUGAAUGGAGAAUAUGGUGAAGUGUUGCCAAAUCGGCUGCGCAGACGAGCAGAUAAUGUUCCUGUGAGAUUUUCGUAAACUGCCGCUGAAAUGGGUUUAUAUGAAUACUGAUGAAUGCGCCGAUUAGUUUGUGAUUACAAAAAAUAAUUAUAAACAUCAUACAUAU
rnacentral:lncRNA from 1 species